rnacentral:rRNA from 1 species
CAGUCGACGAGACCUUCGGGUCUAGUGGCGCACGGGUGAGUAACGCGUGGGAACCUGUCCUGUGGUUCGGGAUACCUCCGGGAAACUGGAGUUAAUACCGGAUGUCUCCUUCGGGAGAAAGAUUUAUCGCCAUAGGGUGGGCCCGCGUCCGAUUAGCUAGUUGGUGGGGUAAAGGCCUACCAAGGCAUCGAUCGGUAGCUGGUCUGAGAGGAUGAUCAGCCACACUGGGACUGAGACACGGCCCAGACUCCUACGGGAGGCAGCAGUGGGGAAUAUUGGACAAUGGGGGCAACCCUGAUCCAGCCAUGCCGCGUGAGUGAUGAAGGCCUUCGGGUUGUAAAGCUCUUUCGGUGGGGACGAUGAUGACGGUACCCACAGAAGAAGCCCCGGCUAACUCCGUGCCAGCAGCCGCGGUAAUACGAAGGGGGCGAGCGUUGUUCGGAAUUACUGGGCGUAAAGGGCGCGUAGGCGGCGCACCAAGUCAGGCGUGAAAGCCCUGGGCUUAACCCAGGAACUGCGUUUGAGACUGGCGUGCUGGAGUGCAGGGGAGGUCGGCGGAAUUCCCAGUGUAGAGGUGAAAUUCGUAGAGAUUGGGAAGAACACCGGUGGCGUAGGCGGCCGACUGGACUG